AGCCGCCCUCUUUUAAUAUCAACUCCCAUCAACCAACAACUCCUUCUCAUAUAAUCUCUUUUUAAGCUAGCAUUCCUCUCAUUUUCUUCAUUGGCGCAUCGGCAAUCAAACGAAAAGGGAGAUUCAUUGUGCUGCCAGAGUUUCUAUCCAUUGAACUCCAGAGCAACCAACCAAAAACACAAGAACAUUCAAGGUAUUUUUACAUCGGUAUGCUUUCUUCUUUGUUACACGCCUCAUUUCCCAUGAAGCAUAUGAUCAGUUUAUUUGAAAAGCAUAGUAGGAGACGAAUGGUAUAAUCUUUUAUCCAUAUAGAAUCAACAACCCAUGACUUUCACACAAGGCAAAUACAAUGAGAAUUUCUGACGACACAUAGCAAAACCAUGAUGCCUAGUUUCAAUCUAUAGCAUAAACGACAAUAGGAGCCAAAGGUUUAAUUUACGGACUGCACUGAACUAGAAAAAAAACCAUAUCUUGCUGCUUUUGCUUUUAAAAAUACUAAGAGUUAGGGCCGAACCUCAACUGCUGGAACGAAGAAUGAAAACGGCGAACUCUCGUCGUCUUGCCUGCAUCGGAAAGAAGGGCUGACAGCCCGACGGGGACGACGACGACGGUCGGGACAGGGCGAACUCGCCCAACCUCAUCAGGGCCCCGAACAGCAGCUGCCCGGCGACGAGCUGAGACUUGUGCGCAGCAGCAGCGUCCAGGGGCAGCAGCGACGCGGUGAGAGGCGUAGGCCUUCUUACUCCAGUCGCCGGUGGAGAGAAUCGCCGGAGGCAGCUGACGCCGAUCAGAUCAGAGCCGAGCAGGGGCUCGAGUGCAGCAAACGCGGACGCUCGACAGCGGCGUCCUUCCCUUUUCUGAAAUCUAGGGCUCGACGUCGGAGAGGGAUAGGAGGACGGGAGUUGGACGGCGCCACUCCCAGACGACGACCGCUCGCCGGAUUCCAGACGGAGGUGCGACAGCGGCGAUGAUUUCCAGAGUUAGGGCUCGGCUAGGUUCUGCGAUGAAGAGAGAGAGCAACGCCGGUGUUUGACGCGUCGCCGAUCGAAGCUGAUCGGAGCAUAUGACGGCUGAACGGCCGGAGUAGGCGCAGCCGACCAGAAUUUGGCAGAGAGAGAGAGAGAUCGGCUUUGAAGAAGAAGGAAGAGCGGCCCCC